CCUUCCGUAGGUGAACCUGCGGAGGGAUCAUUACUGA
rnacentral:rRNA from 1 species